rnacentral:rRNA from 1 species
UACGUAGGGUGCAAGCGUUGUCCGGAAUUAUUGGGCGUAAAGAGCUCGUAGGCGGUGUGUCGCGUCGGCCGUGAAAACUUGCAGCUUAACUGUGGGCGUGCGGUCGAUACGGGCAUCACUGGAGUUCGGCAGGGGAGACUGGAAUUCCUGGUGUAGCGGUGAAAUGCGCAGAUAUCAGGAGGAACACCGGUGGCGAAGGCGGGUCUCUGGGCCGAUACUGACGCUGAGGAGCGAAAGCGUGGGGAGCGAACAGG